GACGAACGCUGGCGGCGUGCUUAACACAUGCAAGUCGAACGGAAAGGCCCUGCUUUUGUGGGGUGCUCGAGUGGCGAACGGGUGAGUAACACGUGAGUAACCUGCCCUUGACUUUGGGAUAACUUCAGGAAACUGGGGCUAAUACCGGAUAGGAGCUCCUGCUGCAUGGUGGGGGUUGGAAAGUUUCGGCGGUUGGGGAUGGACUCGCGGCUUAUCAGCUUGUUGGUGGGGUAGUGGCUUACCAAGGCUUUGACGGGUAGCCGGCCUGAGAGGGUGACCGGCCACAUGGGGACUGCGAUACGGCCCAGACUCCUACGGGAGGCAGCAGUGGGGAAUAUUGCACAAUGGGCGGAAGCCUGAUGCAGCAACGCCGCGUGCGGGAUGACGGCCUUCGGGUUGUAAACCGCUUUCGCCUGUGACGAAGCGUUAGUGACGGUAAUGGGUAAAGAAGCACCGGCUAACUACGUG
rnacentral:rRNA from 1 species